UUUCCGGUUGAUCCCGCCGGACCUGACUGCUAUCGGAUUGAUACUAAGCCAUGCGAGUCUUUGUAGUAAUACAAGGCAGACGGCCCAGUAACACGUAGUCAACCUACCCUAUGGACGAGAAUAAUCUCGGGAAACUGAGCAUAAUUCUUGAUAGAUCAUAAUGCCUGGAAUGGUUUAUGGUUAAAAUGAUUCGUCGCCAUAGGAUGGGACUGCGGCCUAUCAGCUUGUUGGUGAGGUAAUGGCCCACCAAGGCGAUUACAGGUACGGGCUCUGAGAGGAGAAGCCCGGAGAUGGGUACUGAGACACGGACCCAGGCCCUAUGGGGCGCAGCAGGCGAGAAAACUUUGCAAUGUGCGAAAGCACGACAAGGUUAAUCCGAGUGAUUUCUGCUAAAGAAAUCUUUUGCCAGUCAUAAAACCACUGGUGAAUAAGGGGUGGGCAAGUUCUGGUGUCAGCCGCCGCGGUAAAACCAGCACCUCAAGUGGUCAGGAUGAUUAUUGGGCCUAAAGCAUCCGUAGCCGGCUUUGUAAGUUUUCGGUUAAAUCCUUGUGCUCAACGCAUGGGCUGCCGAAAAUACUGCAUGGCUAGGGAGUGGGAGAGGUAGACGGUACUCAAUAGGAAGGGGUAAAAUCCUUUGAUCUAUUGAUGACCACCUGUGGCG
rnacentral:rRNA from 1 species